AUUGAACGCUGGCGGCAUGCCUUACACAUGCAAGUCGAACGGUAACGGGCCUUCGGGUGCCGACGAGUGGCGAACGGGGGAGUAAUACAUCGGAACGUGCCCGAUCGUGGGGGAUAACGAGGCGAAAGCUUUGCUGAUACCGCAUACGAUCUACGGAUGAAAGCAGGGGACCGCAAGGCCUUGCGCGGACGGAGCGGCCGAUGGCAGAUUAGGUAGUUGGUGGGAUAAAAGCUUACCAAGCCGACGAUCUGUAGCUGGUCUGAGGGGAUGAUCAGCCACACUGGGACUGAGACACGGCCCAGACGCCUACGGGAGGCAGCAGUGGGGAAUUUUGGACAAUGGGCCCAAGCCUGAUCCAGCCAUGCCGCGUGCAGGAUGAAGGCCUUCGGGUUGUAAACUGCUUUUGUACGGAACGAAAAGCCUUCUUCUAAUACAGGAGGGUCAUGACGGUACCGUAAGAAUAAGCACCGGCUAACUACGUGCCAGCAGCCGCCGUAA
rnacentral:rRNA from 1 species